rnacentral:rRNA from 1 species
UGCGUAGGCGGGUCUUUAAGUCAGAGGUGAAAUCCUGGAGCUCAACUCCAGAACUGCCUUUGAUACUGAGGAUCUUGAGUUCGGGAGAGGUGAGUGGAACUGCGAGUGUAGAGGUGAAAUUCGUAGAUAUUCGCAAGAACACCAGUGGCGAAGGCGGCUCACUGGCCCGAUACUGACGCUGAGGCACGAAAGCGUGGGGAGCAAACA